CACUGCGGCGCGACAUCAACUACCUAAAGAACCAGGAGAAAGAACCCAACCCCACCCAACCCGCCCCGGUGGCCACCUGACGGACCCCAAGAGCUUUCGGGACUACGUCACUCACACGGGUGACAUUUCCCAACUCAGCUCGCUUUCGGGCUGGUUGCCCGGCAUAUGCUCACGCCAGAACCACAUCCCACACAUACGUCGGCCCCCGACCGGGACUGCAAUCCCAACCGAGGGCCUGGCCACCUAGGAAGAUUCGAGCUUCCCG
rnacentral:ncRNA from 1 species